rnacentral:misc_RNA from 1 species
GAUGAAGAACGAAGCGAAAUGCGAUAAGUAAUGUGAAUUGCAGAAUUCAGUGAAUCAUCGAAUCUUUGAACGCACCUUGCGCUCUUUGGUAUUCCGAAGAGCAUGCCUGUUUGAGUGUCAUGAAAAUAUCAACCUUGACUUGGGUUUUGUGCUCUAGUCUCGGCUUGGAAUUGGGUGCUUGCCGCUUUUACGAGCGGCUCACCUUAAAUGUAUUAGCUGGAUCUGUCUUUGAGACUUGGUUUGACUUGGCGUAAUAAGUAUUUCGCUAAGGACAUUCUUCGGAGUGGCCUCGUUUCUAGGACGCUUGUCCGCUUUCCAAUACAAGUUCCACCUCGUGGACAUGACUUUUUAUUAUCUGGCCUCAAAUCAGGUAGGACUACCCGCUGAACUUAAGCAUAUCAAUAAGCGGAGGA